CAGAAAGCACAGGCAACCUGGUGGCCUGGGAUGCCUGGUCCUCACAUGUGUGCGCUGCUGUCCCUGCCUGUUGCUGCCUAGGGAGGCACUCUGCCUGAAAUAAUGCUGCCAUCCUCGGAUUUUAAAGUGCUGCUUGCAGUACUUUGUCUUCUGAAGAUUUGUCAGCUUUUCCAUCACAGACCCCGCUGAACUGCAUAUGGAGUAGGAAUUAUUAUCUUCAGCCAGCUGAAAUGGCAAAUGAGACCCAACACAUUGGGACUACAAUCCCACAAAGUUGUGGGAGAAAAAGAAGAGCUCUGCCUGUGUGAUCUCCUGCACCUCUGGCCAGCAAGGAGGGGUAUGAGAGAGAAUAGAGUUCCCUGCACUGCUCCACAACAGGCCAGAGCAUCAUGGACUGCAGAGCUGGGGCUGUCUGGAUAAUGACACCAGGUCAGACCUCACUCUUCAACCCAAUUCUGUUGAAGGACCUUCAAUUGUCACUGACAUUAAGAAGAAAAGUUUUUUUCCCCCAGAACUGACAGCUGGAAACACCUGGAUAAUAAGUACAGCAACUUCAUGCAAUUGUAUUUUCUCUUCUCUGACACAUUGUUCCUCUUCCGGCCAAGUCACUAAACCAAGUCUCUGCUGGAGAAAAUAAACUAGAUUUUGAUUUAAUGAAGGCCUUUGUAGGGUCGCCAUGGCAAAGCUGUUUGGGCUGAAUGACUGGGACCUGUCCACUACUCUUGAAAGUUAUGCCUUAUACAUCCUUACACACAUCAGGUAGUCUGCAGUCACCAGAUCAACCAUUUCCAAUGGGAGGCCUUUCCCUGGUAUCUUUAGGUAAUGUAGUGUACAUGUCUUGGCUUUAUUUUUCAUGCUUUGAACAAAGAAUUUGCAUGCUACCAUGUGUCUUGAGAGAAAACAACAGUGCCAGCCUCUGCCCCCUCUGUGCUCUGCAGGCAGGGCUCUCAUUCACUGGUUGCAGUUGAAGCUAUCAUACAGUGCUGAGCCCAUCUGUGGUGCAGACUUAAAUACUAACAAUCUACUGAUUUUUAAAGCCAGACCAACAGGAAUCUAAUUUAAAACCUGGUAUAUAGUUGUAAGUAUUGUGACUUAGACUUACUGAUGCCCAUGUUUGUAUGGGGGUAAUAUCUAUUACUUCAGACGGAGCUUUGGGAACAGGCUUAUAUAAAAUUUUGUCCCAGUAAAAAACAAAAACAAACAAACAAACAAAAAAACAUUAAUUGCCCGUGAAUUGCCUCUGAAUUGCCUGGCUUUUGCUAGCUUGUACCAGAUUUGAAAUUAUUUAAUGCUGAUUUUUUACAUGUAAUGCCUCCAACCUUCUUGUCUGCCAGGCAGCUGUUUAGUGUCACAUUGGAUCUGCUCCAGCUGGACCUGAAUUCAGAUAUCACUCUGGGUGCUCUCCUCUCUGACAUCAACUAUUAUUCCUUAGAAAGUGCAAAUAAAUAAAAGUAUAAAUUGAAAGAAUCAAGAGGAAAUAUGCGCAGAGAUUUUUUAAUCUUACUUUUGUUUGAUUCAUCAAAGGCAGCUGAGUCCCUCUAGUGCUUCCGUGUUGUGCUCUGCACUUGUUCCAGGAGGAAGGUAAAGAGAAAUGGAAAACAUCACUCUUCAUUAUCCUAGCAUAUCCCCAAAUGUGUAUGUUGGUUCACUGGAAGAGAAAAAGGAGAUGAACAUUGCAUUGCGCUUAAUUCUCUUCUAAAUCUGGCCAGGCUUGAUUGUGAAAUCCAAUAUCUGGUAUAUGUUUCAGUAGU